UGGCAGGGUUGACGACCGC
rnacentral:misc_RNA from 1 species